rnacentral:tRNA from 1 species
GGAGAGGUGCUGGAGUGGUCUAACAGGGCUGCCUGCUAAGCAGUUGCACGGCCAAAAGCUGUGCCGUGGGUUCGAAUCCCACCCUCUCCG